UGGAAACGGGUCACGAAUUCCUUGUGCCU
rnacentral:piRNA from 1 species